rnacentral:rRNA from 1 species
GAUGAACGCUAGCGGCAGGCCUAACACAUGCAAGUCGAGGGGGAAGUUACUUUCGGGUGACUGAGACCGGCGUACGGGUGCGUAACGCGUAUACAAUCUGCCUUUCACUGGGGGAUAGCCCGAAGAAAUUUGGAUUAAUACCCCAUAGUAUAUAGGGACGGCAUCGUUUUUAUAUUAAAGCUUAGGUGGUGAAAGAUGAGUAUGCGUUCUAUUAGCUAGUUGGAGAGGUAACGGCUCCCCAAGGCGAUGAUAGAUAGGGGUUCUGAGAGGGAUGUCCCCCACACUGGUACUGAGAUACGGACCAGACUCCUACGGGAGGCAGCAGUGAGGAAUAUUGGACAAUGGUCGGAAGACUGAUCCAGCCAUGCCGCGUGCAGGACGAAGGUCUUAUGGAUUGUAAACUGCUUUUGUAAGGGAAGAAUAAGGGCUACGCGUAGUUUGAUGACGGUACCUUACGAAUAAGCAUCGGCUAACUCAGUG